rnacentral:rRNA from 1 species
AACGCUAGCUACAGGCUUAACACAUGCAAGUCGAGGGGCAGCAUGAAGUCAGCUUGCUGACUUUGAUGGCGACCGGCGCACGGGUGAGUAACGCGUAUCCAACCUGCCCCAUACAUGGGAACAGCCCUCCGAAAGGAGGAUUAAUGCCCGAUGUGGUCCAUUGAAGGCAUCUGAUUUGGAUUAAAGAUUUAUCGGUAUGGGAUGGGGAUGCGUCUGAUUAGGAAGUUGGCGGGGUAACGGCCCACCAAUCCAUCGAUCAGUAGGGGUUCUGAGAGGAAGGUCCCCCACAUUGGAACUGAGACACGGUCCAAACUCCUACGGGAGGCAGCAGUGAGGAAUAUUGGUCAAUGGCCGAGAGGCUGAACCAGCCAAGUAGCGUGCAGGAUGACGGCCCUAUGGGUUGUAAACUGCUUUUAUGCGGGGAUAACGGACAUUACGUGUAGUGUUUUGCAGGUACCGCAUGAAUAAGGACCGGCUAAUUCCGUGCCAGCAGCCGCGGUAAUACGGAAGGUCCGGGCGUUAUCCGGAUUUAUUGGGUUUAAAGGGAGCGUAGGCCGGCUCUUAAGCGUGCCGUGAAAUGUCCGGGCUUAACCCGGGCACUGCGGCGCGAACUGGGAGCCUUGAGUGCGCGGAACGUAUGCGGAAUUCGUGGUGUAGCGGUGAAAUGCUUAGAUAUCACGAAGAACUCCGAUUG